rnacentral:lncRNA from 1 species
UCAAAAAUACCAUCUUCAUUAAGUGGCAAAAGACUCUCAUGCCUUUGUUCUUUAUAUAUAUAAAAAAUAAAUAUUUAAAACAUCAACUUUAAAUCCUAAACCCUAAACUUCAACUCUAAACCCUAAACCAUCAACACUAAACCCUAAACUAUCAGCCCUAGACCCUAAAAAGUAAACUAUAAACCCUAAACCCUAAAAAGUUAAUCCUAAACCCAAAAAAACCAACUCUAAACCCUAAACCCUAAACCUUCAACUCUAAAACCUAAACAUAAACCCUAAAAACCUGAAACAUCAACUCUAAACCCUAAACCCUAAACCUCAACUCUAAACCCUAAACCCUAAACUUCAAUUCUAAAGCCUAAACCCUAAAAAAUUAACCCUAAACCCUAAAAUAUCAACUCUAAACCUAAACUUGCAAUUAUAAACCCUAAACCCUAAAACAUCAACUCUAAACCCUAAACCUUAAACCUUCAAUUCUAAACCCUAAACCCUAAAACAUCAACUCUAAACCCUAAACCCUAAAUCUUAAAACC